rnacentral:rRNA from 1 species
UUAAACGAGAGUUUGAUCCUGGCUCAGAAUCAACGCUGGCGGCGUGCCUAACACAUGCAAGUCGCACGAGAAAGGGGCUUCGGCCCUGAGUACAGUGGCGCACGGGUGAGUAACACGUGAAUGAUCUACCUCCGAGUGGGGAAUAACCUAGAGAAAUCUGGGCUAAUACCGCAUAACACUUACGAGUCAAAGCAGCAAUGCGCUUGGAGAGGAGUUCGCGGCCGAUUAGCUAGUUGGCGGGGUAAUGGCCCACCAAGGCAAUGAUCUGUAUCCGGCCUGAGAGGGCGCACGGACACACUGGAACUGAAACACGGUCCAGACUCCUACGGGAGGCAGCAGUGGGGAAUUUUGCGCAAUGGGGGAAACCCUGACGCAGCAACGCCGCGUG